GAAAGUCCGUUGUAACUACCAACAUCCCCUGAAUGCAACUCAGACACUUUAAUUAAGCUAGGACUUC
rnacentral:tRNA from 1 species